GAAUAAAUAAAUUUUUUAUAUUUUUUAUAAUUUAUUAUAAAUUUAUUUUACAUGUAAAUUUUAGUAUUAAAUUUUAAUUAUUUAAAUAAUAAUUAAUUUAAAUAUACAGUAAUUAAAAUUAAAAAUUUAAGAAAUUAAGAUUUAGUAAUAUUUAAAUUAAUAACUAAUUUUGUGCCAGCAGUUGCGGUUAAACAAAAGUUAAAUUAAAUUAUUUCAGUAUAUAAUAAAUAAUAAAUAAUUAAAUUAAAUAUUAAAUUAUUAAGUGAAAUUUUAAUUUAAUUAAAAAUUAUAAUGAAAUUAUGGUUUAACAAAUUUUAUUUUAAACUAGGAUUAGAUACCCUAUUAUUAAAAAUUUAAUUGAAAAUACUAAAAUAGUAAAUAAAAUAUUAUUGAAACUUAAAUAAUAUGGCGGUAUUUUAGUUCAUUUAGAGGAAUCUGUCUAAUAAUUGAUAAUCCACGAAUAAAUUUACUUAAUUUAUAAUUUUGUAUAUCAUUGUUAAAAAAAUAUUUUUUAAUAAAAAUAAUAUUUUAAAAUUUAAAAUAAAAUUUAAUUCAGAUCAAGAUGCAGAUUAUAAUUAAGUUUAAGAUGGAUUACAAUAAAUAUAUUUAAGUGGAGAGAAUUUUGUAAAAUUUAAUUGAAAAUGGAUUUAAAUGUAAUUUUAAUUAGUUUAUUAAAAUGAUUAAAAAUUGGAAUAUGUACAUAUUGCCCGUCACUUUCAUUUUAAAAUUGGAAUAAGUCGUAACAAAGUAGAGGUACUGGAAAGUGUUUCUAGAAUGAA
rnacentral:ncRNA from 1 species